rnacentral:rRNA from 1 species
UACGUAGGGGGCAAGCGUUGUCCGGAAUCAUUGGGCGUAAAGCGCGCGUAGGCGGCCCGAUAAGUCUGCUGUGAAAGUCCAGGGCUCAACCCUGGAAUGCCGGUGGAUACUGUCGGGCUAGAGUUCGGAAGAGGCAAGUGGAAUUCACGGUGUAGCAGUGAAAUGCGUAGAUAUCGUGAGGAAGACCAGUGGCGAAGGCGGAUCUCUGGACAGCUCCUGACGCUGAGGCGCGAAGGCGUGGGGAGCGAUCCGG